rnacentral:rRNA from 1 species
CCUACGGGCGACAGCAGUAGGGAAUAUUGCUCAAUGGGGGAAACCCUGAAGCAGCAACGCCGCGUGGAGGAUGAAGGUUUUAGGAUUGUAAACUCCUUUUGUUAGGGAAGAUUAUGACGGUAUCUAACGAAUAAGCACCGGCUAAAUCAGUGCCAGCAGCCGGGGCAAUACGGCGGGUGCAAGCGUUACUCGGAAUCACUGGGCGUAAAGAGUGCGUAGGCGGGGUAAUAAGUCAGAUGGGAAAUCCGGUAGCUUAACUACAGAACUGCAUUUGAAACUGUUACUCUGGAGUGUGAGAGAGGUAUGCGGAAUGCUUGGUGUAGGGGUAAAAUGCGUAGAGAUCACGAAGAAUCCUGAUUGCGAAGGCAGCCUGCUGGAACAUUACUGACGCUGAUGCACGAAAGCGUGGGGAGCAAACAGGAUUAGAUACCCUAGUAGUC